GAGGAAAAGAAACUAACAAGGAUUCCCCUAGUAACGGCGAGUGAAGAGGGAAGAGCCCAAGAUUGAAAGCUGGCGUCUUCGACGUCCGCAUUGUAAUCUCAAGAAGCGUUUUCCGCUUCGGACCAUGCCUAAGUCCCUUGGAAAAGGGCAUCAUAGAGGGUGAUAAUCCCGUACAUGGCAUGGAGCGCCCGAAGCUUUGUGAUACGUUUUCUAAGAGUCGAGUUGUUUGGGAAUGCAGCUCAAAAUGGGUGGUAAAUGCCAUCUAAGGCUAAAUAUUGGGGAGAGACCGAUAGCGAACAAGUACAGUGAUGGAAAGAUGAAAAGAACUUUGAAAAGAGAGUUAAACAGUACGUGAAAUUGCCAAAAGGGAAGGGUAGGAGGUCAGAGAUGCGUCUUGGAAUUCAGCCUUGCUUUUUGCUUGGUGUUUUUUCCAAGUUUGCAGGCCAACGUCGGUUUUGGGCACUGGAGAAGGGUGGAAGGAACGUGGCACCUCUCGGGGUGUGUUAUAGCCUUCUACUGGAUACAGCGACCGAGACCGAGGACAGCAGCGUACUCGCAAGAGCGGGCCCUCGGGCACCUUUACGCUUAG
rnacentral:rRNA from 1 species